rnacentral:lncRNA from 1 species
AUGAAUAAUUUAGUUAAAUAACGUUUUCGAAGUUUUGAAUGAGCGUACAACAAAUUGUAUUUGAGGGAGUGCUUAAACUAUUAAUAACCAAGUGUCUCGUCUAAUUUUGGCUUAGUCGUCUGUCACUUACUAACGACACAAUUUUAACUUUUAAAGGAUGAAAAACAAGUUUGUUAAACUAUAUAUCAUGAUAAAAAAAAAA